CUACAGGGGUUUCUAAUCCCUUUUGCUCCCCUAGCUUUCGUCCCUCAGUGUCAGUGCAGACCCAGUUACGCGCUUUCGCCACUGGUGUUCUUCCCGAUAUCUACGCAUUUCACCGCUACACCGGGAAUUCCCGUAACCCCUAUCGCACUCAAGUCAACCAGUUUCCUCCGCCUGUAUGCAGUUAAGCUGCACGCUUUGACAAAAGGCUUGGUUAACCACCUGCGGACGCUUUACGCCCAAUGAUUCCGGAUAACGCUUGCAUCCUCCGUAUUACCGCGGCUGCUGGCAC
rnacentral:rRNA from 1 species